rnacentral:rRNA from 1 species
GUAGUUAGCCGGGGCUUUCUAAUGGGGUACCGUCAUUUUUUCGUCCCCCACAACAGAGGUUUACAAUCCGAAAACCUUCUUCCCUCACGCGGCGUUGCUGGGUCAGGCUUGCGCCCAUUGCCCAAUAUUCCCCACUGCUGCCUCCCGUAGGAGUCUGGACCGUGUCUCAGUUCCAGUGUGGCCGAUCAGCCUCUCAGCUCGGCUACCCAUCGCAGGCUUGGUGGGCUGUUAUCUCACCAACUACCUAAUGGGACGCGAACCCCUCCCUCAGCGGAUUGCUCCUUUGACCUCAUCCCGAUGCCGGGUCGUGGUCUUAUGCGGUAUUAGCACUUGUUUCCAGGUGUUAUCCCCCUCUGAAGGUCAGGUUGUUCACGCGUUACUCACCCGUUCGCCACUAAGUUUAUAAGAAUCCAUCCGAAAACUUCAACUUAUAAACUCCGUUCGACUUGCAUGUGUUAAGCACGCCGCCAGCGUUCAUCCUGAGCCAGGAUCAAACUCUGA